CGGUUACUUUAGGAAACACGAGUCUAAGCCGCUGUAGGGGAGCCGGUCGUGACUGACGGUGGCCUAGGUUUUCCAAGAACUGCUCGCCAGGGAGCCCAUCUGCAGCCACCAUGUCGGGCAGGAACAACAACAAGCUGCCCAGCAACCUGCCGCAGUUACAGAACCUGAUCAAGCGGGACCCGCCGGCGUACAUCGAGGAGUUCCUCCAGCAGUAUAAUCACUAUAAAUCCAAUAUGGAGAUUUUCAAGUUACAACCAAAUAAACCUAGCAAAGAUCUGGCAGAGCUGGUGAUGUUCAUGGCACAGAUUGGCCACUGCUACCCGGAGCAUCUCAGUAACUUCCCGCAGGAGCUGAAGGAGCUGCUCUCCUACAAUCACACUGUCUUGGACCCGGAUCUCCGAAUGACAUUUUGCAAAGCAUUGAUCUUGCUGAGAAAUAAAAAUCUCAUCAAUCCAUCAAGUUUGCUAGAGCUCUUCUUUGAGCUUCUGCGAUGCCACGACAAGCUCCUACGGAAGACUCUGUACACACAUAUUGUGACUGACAUCAAGAACAUAAACGCCAAACACAAGAACAAUAAAGUGAAUGUGGUGCUGCAAAAUUUCAUGUACACAAUGCUGAGAGACAGCAACGCCACUGCAGCCAAGAUGUCUUUGGACGUGAUGAUCGAACUCUACAGGAGGAACAUCUGGAAUGAUGCUAAAACUGUCAAUGUUAUCACAACUGCCUGUUUCUCCAAGAUCACCAAGAUACUAGUUGCUGCUUUGACAUUUUUUCUCGGCAAAGAUGAGGGAGAGAAACAGGACAGUGACUCAGAAUCCGAGGAUGAAGGACCCACAGCCAGAGACCUCCUGGUGCAGUAUGCCACAGGGAAGAAGGGCUCCAAAAACAAGAAGAAGUUGGAAAAGGCAAUGAAAGUGCUAAAGAAACAAAAGAAGAAGAAGAAACCAGAAGUGUUUAAUUUUUCAGCUAUUCAUUUGAUUCAUGAUCCCCAAGAUUUUGCAGAAAAGCUUCUGAAGCAGCUAGAGAGCUGUAAGGAGAGGUUUGAAGUGAAGAUGAUGUUCAUGAACCUCAUCUCCAGAUUGGUGGGAAUUCACGAGCUUUUCCUCUUCAACUUCUACCCUUUUGUGCAGAGGUUUCUGCAGCCCCACCAGAGAGAAGUCACAAAGAUCCUUCUGUUUGCUGCACAAGCCUCUCAUCACCUGGUGCCGCCAGAGAUUAUUCAAUCACUGCUCAUGACGGUGGCCAACAAUUUUGUUACUGACAAGAACUCUGGGGAAGUCAUGACCGUAGGAAUCAAUGCUAUAAAAGAGAUAACAGCUCGAUGUCCUUUGGCUAUGACUGAAGAACUUCUGCAGGACCUGGCUCAGUAUAAGACACACAAAGAUAAGAACGUAAUGAUGUCUGCCAGAACUCUGAUUCAUCUCUUCCGGACACUGAACCCUCAGAUGCUGCAGAAGAAGUUCCGGGGUAAACCUACCGAAGCCUCUAUUGAAGCAAGAAUACAAGAAUAUGGAGAGUUAGAUGCUAAAGAUUACAUUCCAGGAGCAGAAGUUCUAGAGAUUGAGAAAGAAGAGGAUACAGAAAAUGAUGAAGAUGGAUGGGAAAGUGCCAGUCUCAGCCCUGAGGAGGAGGAGGAUGGCGAAUGGGUUGAUGUGCACCACUCUUCCGACGAAGAGCAGCAAGAAAUUGCCAAGAAGCUGGACAGCAUGCCCAUGGAGGAGCGGAAAGCCAAAGCUGCAGCCAUCAGCACGAGUCGGGUUUUAACACAGGAUGACUUCCAGAAAAUCCGAAUGGCCCAGAUGAAGAAAGAAAUGGACGCUGCCCCCGGGAAAGCCCAGAAAAGGAAAUACAUCGAAAUCGACAGUGAUGAGGAGUCCAGGGGUGAAUUGCUGUCUCUGCGGGACAUUGAACGCCUUCAUAAAAAGCCCAAAUCUGACAAGGAGACGAGACUAGCAACUGCAAUGGCAGGAAGGACAGACCGAAAGGAAUUUGUGAGGAAGAAAACCAAAAUAAAUCCAUUUUCCAGUUCCACAAAUAAAGAGAAGAAAAAACAGAAGAACUUUAUGAUGAUGCGAUAUAGCCAGAAUGUCCGGUCAAAAAACAAGCGCUCCUUCCGGGAGAAGCAGCUGGCACUACGAGAUGCACUUUUGAAGAAGAGGAAAAGAAUGAAGUAACUUAGCAGCAAGUUGUCCAUCUCCUGCCAAACGCCAAGUGUGUAUCUACAUGACGAAAAUUCAUUAAAAGACACUCUGGUAAUUUACAUUAUACAAAGCAUCCUUUGAAAAACCAGGAACAGCACUAGUUUGACCUCAGCCAGAGGCAGUGGAGCAGUCUGUCCCUAAAUCAGCAUCACAGGGGGCCUGAGAGGGAAAUUGGACCAAAGCUGAAGGGCAAGAUGGGGAGCCACCAUUCUCUGGGAAAGGUUGCAAAAGCAGGAGUUAGAGGAAUCACUCGGGAAGCAGGUCAGGAGGAGACAAUCCUCCUCAGAACUUCCUGUUUCAAGGACACUUGAACCUUCCUCUUUUUGAAAAAUAAAAACAUUUUAUAACUGUGACUUUAAAUAGAGCACAAUGAAACAUUUACCAACUCAGUGUUA